CAUUAUCGAGUUUUUGAAACGGGUUGUCGCUGGUCCCAUUCUUAACAGAUUCGGGACAUGUGCACACCUGGCUUCAUUCCACUCUUCAACCCCUGUGCACUUGUUGUAGGUUUCAGGUCGGACGCGGGGCUUUCGACUUCAUCGUCGAGAGCUUCAAGGAAAGCCUGAGCCUAUGUUUUACUACACACACGCUUCAGUUAUAGAAUGUAAACAUCGCGUAUAACGCAUUUUAAAUACAACUUUCAGCAACGGAUCUCUUGGCUCUCGCAUCGAUGAAGAACGCAGCGAAAUGCGAUAAGUAAUGUGAAUUGCAGAAUUCAGUGAAUCAUCGAAUCUUUGAACGCACCUUGCGCUCCUUGGUAUUCCGAGGAGCAUGCCUGUUUGAGUGUCAUGGAAUUCUCAACCUUUGAAAGCUUUUAUUGGUUCUCAAAGGCUUGGACUUGGAGGUCGUGUCGGCUCUGCAAAGAAUAUCGACUCCUCUGAAACGUAUCAGUGCGAACCUUUACGGAUCGUCUUCGGUGUGAUAAACGUCUACGCCGUGGUCGUGAAGUAUGAUUGUGUCCGUGCUUCUAACCGUCUCCUUUGCGAGACAAAAACUGUGUUACUUACUAUAAGUAACAUAGGCAUUGACAAUCUGACCUCAAAUCAGGUAGGACUACCCGCUGAACUUAAGCAUAUCAAUAAGCGGAGGAAAAGAAACUAACAAGGAUUCCCCUAGUAACUGCGAGUGAAGCGGGAAAAGCUCAAAUUUAAAAUCUGGCGGUCUUCGGCCGUCCGAGUUGUAGUCUGGAGAAGCGUCUUCCGCGUCGGACCGUGUACAAGUCUCUUGGAACAGAGCGUCAUAGAGGGUGAGAAUCCCGUCUUUGACACGGACUACCGAUGCUUUGUGAUGCGCUCUC
rnacentral:rRNA from 1 species